rnacentral:rRNA from 1 species
UACGUAGGGUGCAAGCGUUGUCCGGAAUUAUUGGGCGUAAAGAGCUCGUAGGCGGUCCGUCGCGUCGAAUGUGAAAACCCGAGGCUCAACCCCGGGCCUGCAUUCGAUACGGGCGGACUAGAGUUCGGUAGGGGAGACUGGAAUUCCUGGUGUAGCGGUGAAAUGCGCAGAUAUCAGGAGGAACACCGGUGGCGAAGGCGGGUCUCUGGGCCGAUACUGACGCUGAGGAGCGAAAGCGUGGGGAGCGAACAGG